rnacentral:rRNA from 1 species
AUAUUGCACAAUGGGCGCAAGCCUGAUGCAGCCAUGCCGCGUGUAUGAAGAAGGCCUUCGUGUUGUAAAUUACUUUCAGCGAGGCUGAAGGCGAUAAGGUUAAUAACCUUGUCGAUUGACGUUACUCGCAGAAGAAGCACCGGCUAACUCCGUGCCAGCAGCCGCGGUAAUACGGAGGCUGCAAGCGUUAAUCGGAAUUACUGGGCGUAAAGCGCACGCAGGCGGUCUGUCAAGUCGGAUGUGAAAUCCCCGGGCUCAACCUGGGAACUGCAUCCGAAACUGGCAGGCUAGAGUCUUGUAGAGGGGGGUAGAAUUCCAGGUGUAGCGGUGAAAUGCGUAGAGAUCUGGAGGAAUACCGGUGGCGAAGGCGGCCCACUGGACAAAGACUGACGCUCAGGUGCGAAAGCGUGGGGAGCAAAC